rnacentral:rRNA from 1 species
CUACGGGAGGCAGCAGUGGGGAAUUUUGGACAAUGGGCGCAAGCCUGAUCCAGCCAUGCCGCGUGCGGGAAGAAGGCCUUCGGGUUGUAAACCGCUUUUGUCAGGGAAGAAACGGUCCGUGCCAAUACCACGGGCUAAUGACGGUACCUGAAGAAUAAGCACCGGCUAACUACGUGCCAGCAGCCGCGGUAAUACGUAGGGUGCAAGCGUUAAUCGGAAUUACUGGGCGUAAAGCGUGCGCAGGCGGUCAUGCAAGACAGAUGUGAAAUCCCCGGGCUCAACCUGGGAACUGCAUUUGUGACUGCAUGACUUGAGUACGGUAGAGGGGGAUGGAAUUCCGCGUGUAGCAGUGAAAUGCGUAGAUAUGCGGAGGAACACCGAUGGCGAAGGCAAUCCCCUGGACCUGUACUGACGCUCAUGCACGAAAGCGUGGGGAGCAAACAGGAUUAGAUACCCCGGUAGU